AGAUCACCGUCCCUCAGAUGUAAAUGGAGAAAGCAGUACUGAGGCCUGGGCAGCAACAAACUACUGUAGCCAAAUAAGGAGGACGACUAAAGAGAGAAUGAAGAGGUGACAGAUGCCCUCACCAGCAGGAACGCAGACCCUACGAAGUUUACUGCAUCUAAGGCAUGCCAUCUUUAAUAAGCAAUGGAGGCACAAUACAGACAGUACCAGAACAGAACAAACCUAAAGCCAGCCAAGCAUGGCAACAUUUGGGCCAACCAGAGAAUGUUAUUUUAAGCAAAA